GACGAAGGGGGCUAGCGUUGUUCGGAAUUACUGGGCGUAAAGCGCGUGUAGGCGGUUGCCAAAGUCGGGUGUGAAAGCCUUGAGCUCAACUCAAGAAUUGCACUCGAUACUUGGUGACUAGAGGACCGGAGAGGAUAGUGGAAUUCCCAGUGUAGUGGUGAAAUACGUAAGAGAUUGGGAAGAACACCAGUGGGCGAAGGCGGCUAUCUGGACGGUUUCUGACGCUAAGACGCGAAAGCGUGGGGAGCAAACAGG
rnacentral:rRNA from 1 species